UAAAUCAGUUAUCGUUUAUUUGAUAGUACCUUACUACUUGGAUAACCGUGGUAAUUCUAGAGCUAAUACAUGCUAAAAACCCCAACUUCGGGAGGGGUGUAUUUAUUAGAUAAAAAACCAAUGCCCUCCGGGGCUCUUUGGUGAUUCAUGAUAACUUAACGGAUCGCAUGGCCUUGCGCCGGCGACGGUUCAUUCAAAUUUCUGCCCUAUCAACUUUCGAUGGUAAGGUAUUGGCUUACCAUGGUUUCAACGGGUAACGGGGAAUUAGGGUUCGAUUCCGGAGAGGGAGCCUGAGAAACGGCUACCACAUCCAAGGAAGGCAGCAGGCGCGCAAAUUACCCAAUCCCGACUCGGGGAGGUAGUGACAAUAAAUACUGAUACAGGGCUCUUUUGGGUCUUGUAAUCGGAAUGAGUACAAUUUAAACCCCUUAACGAGGAACAAUUGGAGGGCAAGUCUGGUGCCAGCAGCCGCGGUAAUUCCAGCUCCAAUAGCGUAUAUUAAAGUUGUUGCAGUUAAAAAGCUCGUAGUUGAACCUUGGGCCUGGCUGGCCGGUCCGCCUCACCGCGUGUACUGGUCCGGCCGGGCCUUUCCUUCUGGAGAGCCGCAUGCCCUUCACUGGGUGUGUCGGGGAACCAGGACUUUUACUUUGAAAAAAUUAGAGUGUUCAAAGCAGGCCUUUGCUCGAAUACGUUAGCAUGGAAUAAUAGAAUAGGACGUGCGGUCCUAUUUUGUUGGUUUCUAGGACCGCCGUAAUGAUUAAUAGGGAUAGUCGGGGGCAUCAGUAUUCAAUUGUCAGAGGUGAAAUUCUUGGAUUUAUUGAAGACUAACUACUGCGAAAGCAUUUGCCAAGGAUGUUUUCAUUAAUCAGUGAACGAAAGUUAGGGGAUCGAAGACGAUCAGAUACCGUCGUAGUCUUAACCGUAAACUAUGCCGACUAGGGAUCGGGCGAUGUUUCUAUCUUGACUCGCUCGGCAC
rnacentral:rRNA from 1 species